GCCACAACUCCACAUUUUCUCCUGCACUCCACUAUCACCGAAACAACUUGGUGAAUCUUCUACGUGGCUCUUGCUCCUCUGAUUUGGUGGGGGGGUAAACCUCCAUUGGUUUCCUAAGCUUUCCAUUGAUGUCCUGGCUGCGAUCUCAUGAGCUAGUCUGUUUCCCUCUCUAGGCGUCCAGCUAAAGCUGCUUCCCCCGUCUCUCUACAAAGGGACGCAUCGAAAUUUAUUUUUAGCCAUUCCUUCAGUGGAGGUCUCCAGGUUUUAUGUGUUGCUACUAGUGCAGAAGUUAAAGAAAGGAGCUUGAUAAACUAGUUAGAAUGCUAGUGUAAAUGUAGGUUGAUGAGAACUCCCUAUUGGAGAAGAACCCGGUGUUCUAGAAGAACUCUCCUAUUGAGAGAGAAAAUUCUCCUAUUGAGACGAACACAUCCUUAAUUCUUACCGAUAGCUAGUAUUAAACUUUUAUUAUUGAAUUCUUUUUUCCAACCUAUACAAAUAGGCCCAUUCCAACACUCUAACCUAUUAAGCUUUUUUUUCCGAUGAAAAAAAUAUUUAAACUCCACCCACUUGGACUCAGACCAACCUUAAGCUCCAUUAGCAUUAAACACUUUUUUCCCAUUCAUUUCAUUUCAAACCCAACUCUCAACUCCAAAUAAAUACCCAACCUGCUACAGUUUUUCAACCAAAGCCCAAUAUCUCCAUGUCCACACUAAUAACAUCCAACUGCCCCAUUAUAAUACCAGGAAAAAAAAAAACAUACAGCUCAGCAUACUUGUAUUUAAUCUCCUGGACAUGUUUUCAAUUAUUAAAAAACAGGGAUAUAGAAUGAAAAA